UCACUACUUGCGUAGGCAGUCUGGCUAGGGUCCCCACCACGACGUGCUGGUAACUAACCACAGGGGUUGCGCUCGUUGCGCCACUUAAGGCAACACCUCACGACACGAGCUGACGACAGCCAUGCACCACCUGUAUACCGACCACAAGGGGGGCCACAUCUCUGCAGCUUUCCGGUAUAUGUCAAACCCAGGUAAGGUUCUUCGCGUUGCAUCGAAUUAAUCCACAUGCUCCGCCGCUUGUGCGGGCCCCCGUCAAUUCCUUUGAGUUUUAGCCUUGCGGCCGUACUCCCCAGGCGGCGAACUUAAUGCGUUAGCUGCGGCACGGAGGGCAUGACACCCCCCACACCUAGCGCCCAACGUUUACGGUGUGGACUAC
rnacentral:misc_RNA from 1 species